rnacentral:RNase_P_RNA from 1 species
GAAGCACGCCAGACCGCCGCUGGUGCAAUCUGGGAAACCAGGCACUGGAGGAACGUCCGGACUGCACAGGACAGCGUAGCAGCUAACGGCUGCCCACCGUGAGGUGAGGAUCAGAGCAACAGAGACGAGUCGGAGCAGGCUGCAAGCCACCGAAGGUGUUCUAUCGGUCGCCCGCGCAAGCGGGCACGGCUGGCGCAAGCCAGACGGUUUGCGGCGCAAGCCGCAAAGACCAUAGCCACCCGAAGCGGGCGGCGCCCGCUUCGGGUGAAACGGGCAAUCUCUACGCGCAGCAAUACCAAGUAGGCCAGCCACGGGAGCAGGGCGACCUCUCUCGACCUUGUGGAUCCGCGGGGAGAGCUGGCGGGUAGGUAGCACCGAGCCGUGGUGGCGACACCCGGCCCAGAUUAAUGGCGGUCACACUGCGGGCAACCGUGGUGCACAGAAUCCGGCUUAUCGGCGCGCUUCACAC